rnacentral:rRNA from 1 species
CAGUAGCCGCGGUAAUACGAAGGGGGCUAGCGUUGCUCGGAAUUACUGGGCGUAAAGGGAGCGUAGGCGGAUCGUUAAGUUGGGGGUGAAAGCCCGGGGCUCAACCUCGGAACUGCCUUCAAUACUGGCGAUCUUGAGUAUGAGAGAGGUGAGUGGAACUCCGAGUGUAGAGGUGAAAUUCGUAGAUAUUCGGAAGAACACCAGUGGCGAAGGCGACUCACUGGCUCAUUACUGACGCUGAGGCUCGAAAGCGUGGGGAGCAAACAGGAUUAGAUACCCGAGUAGUCCCUGUAUCUUAUAC